AACACGGAAGUGGGAUCAGGCAAGAUCGGGACAGGAAGCUUCAAGAAAGUAGCAAAGCAGGGGGCUCAGAACACCGUGUUACCCAUCACAUAUAGGAAGGAAGAAAAAUGUCUAGUAUGAUUUGUGAAUGAGUUAACUCACUCUGUGGUUUUAGGUUGAAAAUGGACUAUGCAGAAGUGGCCCUGAAAGAAAGCUUCAAUGAUUGCUCUCAAUUGGUCGUUGUCAACUUCUGGUGGCCAGCCACUGCACUCCUCAUCUUCAAGGCUCCUAGCUCCUUUGCAAAACUUGAACCACCACUGCACUAUAUGUUUAUUAGCAGUUCCUGGGCCAAAUGCGUUGUUGAUAUUGCGAGUUGUCUCCGCUGCUUUACGACCCAUUUUGAACUCAAAUAAGAAAACUGUUCGAAUUUGCUUUUUGUCUAAUUUACAUAGUCCAAAAUAAACACAAAUUAAACA